rnacentral:rRNA from 1 species
UACGUAGGGGGCUAGCGUUGUCCGGAAUCAUUGGGCGUAAAGCGCGUGUAGGCGGCUUGGUAAGUCCGUUCUGAAAGCCCGGGGCUCAACCCCGGGAGGCGGAUGGAUACUGUCAAGCUCGAGUCCGGAAGAGGCAAGUGGAAUUCCCGGUGUAGCGGUGAAAUGCGCAGAUAUCGGGAGGAACACCAAUGGCGAAGGCAGCUCGCUGGGACGUGACUGACGCUGAGACGCGAAAGCGUGGGAAGCAAACAGG